UGUUAACACGUUAGUUUCACACGUUUUGGCCUUAAUGGCGUUCCAUAUUUAGGAAGUUGUGUUAGAUGAGAUAGGCUCAUAGUAAGCAUUACGUCAGUGCACGUUUACAGCUUAAUGAAUAAUUACAAUAAAACGAAGGCGCGAAUCACCGCAUUAAUAUUUAUCAGAAGGAUUACAAGCUAUUACGACAGGCAGUGUCAACGUGAAAACACACCUUCGUUUUAUUUGAAUUAUUCAUGAUGUUGUGACCCAAACGCUACGUUAAGCUUACAGUUAGUUUACCUCAUCAGCCAUCAUAAACCACGGACAUUGACGGAAGAUAAACGUACACGGAACAGGCAAAAACUACCACCGAGGAAUACAGGUAGAAAAGCCGCAGAAGAAGAUAACGAGGAACAGUUUCUUUGGGAAAAUGGCUUUGGACACCCCGUUCUUGUUAACUGCAACUGCACUUGUAAAGGAAACAUCCAGGCUUGCACAUGCACAGACUAGCGAGCAGCUUUACAGGAGCAAAUAAGAAAAACACAGGAAGAUUAUGCGCCUGUGUUGAUUCACAAGCUUGACAGAUGCUGAUUUGGAUGACAACAUAAUAAUCAAUAAACCAGAAGCUGAAUCUGCUUGUUGCGGGACUGCAUACAUUAACAAAGGAGUUGUUUGGCAAAAUAAACUUGGACCAACCUGCCUUGAUGCGCACCAAGCCAUGUACCGCACAGGUGGAUAUAUGAAUGCUUAUUUAAAAUUAUUUUCCUGUGCACACAUGAUUAUUCUGCCUUAUAUUGUUGUAAGCAAUAUUAGUUUACACACCUCAAGUUGUUGUGUCUGUGUUUAUUACAGAAAAACCUUAAAAGCAUGUAAGCAUAUCUGGCUCAGGGUCAGCAAGUUACUGGUUUCAAUUAUGCUUCAUUAGUUGCUGUAACAUCCUUGUCUGCUAUACAAACCUAUUUUAUCUAUGCAGUUUCUUUGUAUGUUUCUCUUUUAUCAUAAUGUGUAACUUUGUUACACUUUCUAUGAGCGGCCUCUACACUAAUAUCAGUUUGUUUUGUUUUCCAUGCCCCGUCCUGGAGUUCCCGAAGACACCAGAGGUCGCCAGUCCAAGCUCCGGGUUGUGGCCUGAUGCUCUUCCCAGUUCAGCCAGAUGCUUGUGAUGAUGGGCAAUCCACCUGAUGACAACUAACAAUUACCAUACUUUAACUUGAACAAAUAUAUUCUUUUCAUACGUUUUGGUAUUAUUGCAAACUGUUCUGGUAUAUUGUAAUUUAACAAUAUUUAAAAUAAUAAUAUACCUAGAUUAAAUAUACUUCAAUUAAAUAAUUGACCGUUUCUGACAAUCCAAGAUAACAUUUAUUUCAGUUUCAUCAGUGUACAUUGCAUUGAGAAAUAAUACCAUGUGUCUUAAUAUCAUAUACUUUUUUAAAAUUAUGAUGUAUGUACAGCUGCUUUGCAACAAUGAUAAUUGUGAAAAGCGCUAUAUAAAUACAAUUGAAAAUUGAAUAUUUUGCAGGUAGGAAUUGUUAGCUUAAUUCUUAGCUCAUUGGUUAGACUUAGUCAGUUUAAAUGUGUUUAUAUAAUAUAUAUGUAUAGUUAUGUGUAAUGUUAUUUGUAAUCUCCAACGCUGCUCCUGGAGAGCUACCAUCCUGCAGACUUCAGCUCCAACCCCUCUUCAGCACAUCUGUCUGUAUUUAUCCAGCAACCCUGAACACUUUGAUAGGAUGGAACAGGUGUGUUUGAUUGGGGUUGGAACUGAUAUCUUCAGGACGGUAGCUCUCCAGGAGCAGGGUUGGAGAGCCCUGGUUUAAGUUAUGUGUUAAAUGUGUAACACCGUGGUCCUGUGAGACAUAUCAUUUCUUUGUAUGUCCCCACAUAUAACAGAAUGACAAUAAAACUGAGCUGACUUGAAUGUG